rnacentral:rRNA from 1 species
ACGCUCGACACCUACUGGAGGCAGCAGUGGGGAAUAUUGCACAAUGGGGAAACCCUGAUGCAGCGACGCCGCGUGAGCGAAGAAGUAUUUCGGUAUGUAAAGCUCUAUCAGCAGGGAAGAAAGUGACGGUACCUGACUAAGAAGCACCGGCUAAAUACGUGCCAGCAGCCGCGGUAAUCUGAGGCGGGCUGGCAAGGC